rnacentral:rRNA from 1 species
GCCGCUCAGAAACUUAAAGAAUUGACGGGACCCGCACAAGCGGUGGAGUAUGUGGUUUAAUUCGAUGCAACGCGAAGAACCUUACCUGGUCUUGACAUCCCGGAGACCCUUAGGAAACUAGGGGGUGCUUCCAUCUGGAAGAAUCUGGAGACAGGUGCUGCAUGGCUGUCGUCAGCUCGUGUCGUGAGAUGUUGGGUUAAGUCCCGCAACGAGCGCAACCCUUGCCUUUAGUUGCCAGCAGUUCGGCUGGGCACUCUAAAGGGACUGCCGGUGUUAAACCGGAGGAAGGUGGGGAUGACGUCAAGUCCUCAUGGCCUUUAUGACCAGGGCUACACACGUACUACAAUGGCCGAUACAAAGGGCAGCGACACUGCGAGGUGAAGCCAAUCCCGUAAAAUCGGUCUCAGUCCGGAUUGGAGUCUGCAACUCGACCCCGUGAAGUUGGAAUCGCUAGUAAUCGUGGAUCAGCAUGCCACGGUGAAUACGUUCCCGGGCCUU